AAAGGUGGUGAACUUUGCCUGCACAGGUUGAAGUCAGGGGAAACUUUGAUGGAGGACCGUACGGGUUAUUGAUGUGCAAAUCAUUUUUCUGAUGUAGGUAAAGGUGCGAAAGACUCAUCGAACCACCUAAUAGCUGUUUUCCUCCGAAGUUUCCCUCAGGAUAGCUGUAAUGCAUUUAGUUAAGGGGAGUAGAGAUAUGGGUAGAGGUGCAGGGAGCCUUCGGGUUCUCAACUUAUUUCCAAACUUCGAACCUCCUUGUUAGGCAUUUACCUAACUGGAAAUGCUUAAAUGAAUUAGCGUUACAAGUGGGCUCUGACCGGUAAGCGGUCAUGGCGAAAUGGGAUGAACCAUACGUCUGAAUAAGGUGCCGAAAUGUACUAUCACUGAUACCAUAAAGGGAGUCCAUGUAUUUAGACAGCAGGUCGGUGCCCCUAAAAGCAGGUAUCCGCUAAAGAGUGUGUUAAAACUCACCUGCCGAAUACUAGGGCCCCGAAAAUGAAUGGCGCAUAUAGUACUACCGAUCUCAGACAUCAGUUCUAUUGAACUGAGAGUAGGGGGAUGUGGACAUUUUUGUGAAGGUGCAAUGUGAGUUGGACUGGAAGAAUGUCUAUUACAGAUCCUAAUUGAAGUAGCGAUUAUCCAGGCUUGUAUCCUGGGGGCUGAUGAGGAGUAGGGUUUCUGGACAACUUAAACAGAUCCAGAGUUAGUCGAUCCUAAUCUCAAUAAUGGGAGAAAGGGAGUACAGUUGAUAUUCUGUAACUGACAACAGUUCGCGGCAACGCAUACUAUUUUUCUCCGCCAAUCUUAUACCGUUGGUAGGGAUCUCUUUCCUACAUGACAGUACUAAUACCCAGGGAAACUGGUCAUCAGGCGAACUGCGGCGUUCUGCUGGCAAAACAUAGCUUCGGUUAUGUCAAUGGCUAUUGGAUUGGUCCAUGAAGCGAAAAAUAGUUUACUGUGUCACUCGUACCGAUAACCGCAUCAGGUCUUCUAGGUAAGUAGCCUAUGGCCAUUGAGGCAUGAUAUUCAGG
rnacentral:rRNA from 1 species